GUAGGUGAACCUGCGGAAGGAUCAUUAGUGAAUAUUAGGGCGCUCUUUUCUGCGGAAGCGAUUAGAGGCCUGACCUCCACUUAUCCUAACACUGUGCACCUUAAUAAAUUGAAGUGGGCUUUGCUCGCUACAAUUUUCUCAUCUUUAACACUAGUCAAAGAAUGUAAACAAAACAUAACAAAGAAAAACUUUCAACAACGGAUCUCUUGGCUCUCGCAUCGAUGAAGAACGCAGCAUCUGACUGACUUCA
rnacentral:misc_RNA from 1 species